UGGGGAAUUUUCCGCAAUGGGCGAAAGCCUGACGGAGCAACGCCGCGUGAGGGAUGAAGGCCUCUGGGCUGUAAAACUCUUUUAUCAAGGAAGAAGAUCUGACGGUACUUGAUGAAUAAGCCACGGCUAAUUCCGUACCAGCAGCCGCGGUAAUACGGGAGUCGCAAGCGUUAUCCGGAAUUAUUGGGCGUAAAGCGUCCGCAGGCGGCCUCUUAAGUCUGUCGUUAAAGCGUGGAGCUUAACUCCAUUUCGGCGAUGGAAACUGUGAGGCUUGAGUGUGGUAAGGGCAGAGGGAAUUCCCGGUGUAGCGGUGAAAUGCGUAGAUAUCGGGAAGAACACCAGUGGCGAAGGCGCUCUGCUGGGCCAUAACUGACGCUCAUGGACGAAAGCCAGGGGAGCGAAAGGGAUUAGAUACCCCUGUAGUC
rnacentral:rRNA from 1 species